GACGAACGCUGGCGGCGUGCCUAUUACAUGCAAGUAGAACGCAGUUGCGAACGGGUGAGUAACGCGUAGGUAACUGCCUCAUAGCGGGGGAUAACUAUUGGAAACGAUAGCUAAUACCGCAUACUCUGAGAUGGACCUGCGUUGUAUUAGCUAGUUGGUGAAGUAAAGGCUCACCAAGGCGACGAUACAUAGCCGACGUGGGAGGGGGAAAAGCAACACAGGUACUGAGAAAGGGACCAGACUCCAACGGGGGGCAGCAGUGGGGAAUCUGCGGCAAUGGACGGAAGUCUGACCGAGCAAGAGCGCGGGAAUGAAGAGGGUUUUCGGAUCGUAAGAAUCUGUAGUUAGAGAAGCGGUAACUAACCAGAAAGGGACGAAUAACUACGUGCCAGCCACCGAAGUAAUAC
rnacentral:rRNA from 1 species